rnacentral:rRNA from 1 species
CAGCAUAGGGUUUCAGCAAUGAAAUUCGGAUGGCGACCGGCGCACGGGUGAGUAACACGUAUCCAACCUACCCAUAACAGGGGGAUAACACUGAGAAAUUGGUACUAAUACCCCAUAAUAUCAUAGAAGGCAUCUUUUAUGGUUGAAAAUUCCGAUGGUUAGAGAUGGGCAUGCGUUGUAUUAGCUGGUUGGUGAGGUAACGGCUCACCAAGGCAACGAUACAUAGGGGGACUGAGAGGUUAACCCCCACAUUGGUACUGAGACACGGACCAAACUCC